GUGCUCCUCACACCACUUCACAAACUCACCCCUUGAGCCUUGAGCAUCUCUUGAGUUGGACCAGUCCAAAACUUCCUAAGAUGUCAUACCAGGAUCAGCAGUGCAAGCAACCUUGCCCAGUUCCACCUCAGUGCAAACAACCUUGCCCAAUCCCACCACAGUGGAAGAAGGAGUGCCCGCCUCCUCAGACGGAGUGCCCCGUUCCUCCACCAUGCUGUCCUCCUCAGAAGGACUGCUGUCCUUCCAAGCAAGGAUGCCCUCCGCAACAGAAGGAUCCAAAAUGCUGCUGAGAAGAGGAAACCAGAAGUUGGCAAGAUGAAGAACUGUAGAGGGAAACACAAAGCAGCGUCUAUGAUUUGGCAUUGUUUACUUUGAUGUUUGUGUGGGCUUGACCCUGGCAUUCAUUUGCUAAUUCUGCCUCGACUGGAGGUUCAAAAAUAUUUUCUUCUGGAAAUUAUGAGGUGGAAUAUCCCAUACAAUGUUAUUUCAUAUGGUUUCAAGAACAAGAAUUGGCGUUGUACCAUCUCACCACUAUAUUCAAACCCCACCAUAACUAAUUUUGGCAACUGAAUCUGUAUAAGUGAAGUUUUGUACAGGAGAAAAUCUUUGCAGUAUACUUUUCCAGUUAUACUUUUAAAGAUGUAUUCAGUAUUGCACACUUAAUUUACAACCCACACUAAUCUAAAUACAGUAUUCUCUUCCAUUGUAUUGCUCCGUGUUUCAGUCCUGUGCAUUGGAGAUAUUAUUAAAAUUGAUAUAUCACCAUGAAA